CAGGGGAGGGGCCUUGUGAGCGGGGGAGGGGUCUUGUAGGAGGGGUGGGUCUGAUGCCUCUGUGCCCCGCCCCCAACCGGACGAGUCCAUUCUGCGGCCGCAAGGGGAGGCACACUGGAAGCCAGACAGAGACAGAAAGCACUGGGCCUCUCCUGUCCGCCACCCCUCCUUCUCCCGGAGGCCGCAGCUCUACGCUAGCUAGCGCAGAGAACCGCCCACGCCUUUCCUCUCCCACGGUUCCCGCUCCAGAUUCCUUGCACCCUCCCGUUCCCUUGGUAACGGCCAGUGACCUCACCCGGGUUGUAAGCCGAGCCCAGAGUGAAAUCACCACUGUUGCCAUGGAGACCUAGGGGUCGCCCAGGAAUUCCUGUCCCAAUAGGGAUGACUGAGACAACUGGAAUUUGAAGGGGACAUUGAGGCAAACUGGGAAAAGUGCAUGUCAGCCAGCAGUUCCAGCUUUCCUCACCUCCUCGAGGAACAGGCAGAGAUGGACGACUGCCAUGCACAGGAAGUGAGGGCCAAGCACAGCACCAAGCCUUCACUGAGUCAGGCCGAUGGAAGCCAGCUCCCUGCCUAAACCAACUGCUCACUUGACUACAGCAACUGCAUCAGCAAAGACCACCAAUCUGAAAUCUGGCACCAAGGUGAUUACCCCGCUGCCCUACUCGACUCCCAUCUCCCGAGGAGCCCAGGCACCACCCUGGAUGGGCAAGAUGGGUGGUCCUACCACAAGUCUCCCUGCCUCCCCAUCCACUCUGCCCAGUAGCCAGAGUGAGCUCAACGCCAUCCGCCAGCUGCUGGCAGUCCCUGUCUGACCCCGGGACAGCACCCACUGCACAACUCUGCCCUCCACACUGCCAGACAGGUGUCACCCUGCCUGUUUGCCUGUCCCCUGUGGGACCUGUAUCUGCAUGGCCACCACACUUGGCCUAUCUGGGUAGACCUCUACAUUGUCACCUGCAUGGAGGUCAGACUUAUGUCAGGACCUCUGCAUACUACUCCUCCUGACGAGCCUGGCAAAGGUUUGUUUGAUUAGCAAUGUAUAUGGCUCUGUAAAGCUGUAAAUGAGGACCUCAGCUCUGUGGUGAGUGCCUCUCAUGCUGAGGUAGCACAGUAGGUUCAUCUGACACCAUCUAAGUUUCCAUCGGGGUCCUGGCUCCAUCCCAACUUUAUUAUUAACUUGCUGUGUGUUCUUGGGGAAGUCACUGCCCAUUCCUGUUUCUGCAUAAGAGAUAUU